rnacentral:rRNA from 1 species
UACGGAGGAUGCGAGCGUUAUCCGGAUUUACUGGGUGUAAAGGGAGCGUAGGCGGCGCGUUAAGUCUGAUGUGAAAACCCGAGGCUCAACCACGGGAGUGCAUUGGAAACUGGCGAGCUGGAGUGCCGGAGAGGUAAGCGGAAUUCCUAGUGUAGCGGUGAAAUGCGUAGAUAUUAGGAGGAACACCAGUGGCGAAGGCGGCUUACUGGACGGCAACUGACGCUGAGGCUCGAAAGCGUGGGGAGCAAACAGG